rnacentral:rRNA from 1 species
GAUGAACGCUGGCGGCGUGCCUAAUACAUGCAAGUCGAGCGAUCAGACGAGUUGCUUGUUCCUCUGACUUUAGCGGCGGCCAACUGAUUAACACGUCGAUAGCCUACCUAUCACAUUUUGUUAACUUCCGGAUACCGGAGCUACUACUGCGUAAUAUUUUGAAUCUCUUGCUUCAUUAGUCUAAGACGGUUUUUCUUUCACUUAUAGAUGGAUCCGCGCCGGAUUAGCUUGUUGGUAGGGUAAUGGCUUACCAAGGCGACGAUGCGUAGCCGACCUGAGAGGGGGAUCGGCCGCAAUGGAGGUGAGAAAAGGUGGAGAAGACUACUGGAGGCAGCAGUAGGGAAGAUUACGGAAUGAGCGGAAGAAGGACGGAGCAACGACGCGGGAGUGAUGAAGGUCUUCGGAUCGUAGAAAACUGUUAUUAGGGAAGAAGAAAUGUGUAAGUAACUAUGCACGUCUUGACGGUACCUAAAUAGAAAGCCACGGCUAACUACGUG